UUGUUACUUACUACAUUGUCUUCAUGUCGGCUCUGAAUAAGUCUGUAGCGAGAAAAUUUGUUGGAAAAGAGGGUUUCGUUAUGGCUAAAUUAAGGAUCAACUCGAGAACCCACGCGCCGCGUGCUUGCCGCCAUUUGUGUGUGUGUGUGUGUAUGUGUGUAGUGUGUUGAGUGCGUGUGUCUGGGGCCGGCUUGAGCCCCACGCUCUAUCCCGUCGCCAUGACUGUUGGAAUAUUUACUCUUUAAGAAAAAAGGGAUCGUAAUCAGUAGAUAUUUGGGAAAAUAUGUGACAACUAUUUGGUCAGAGUCGAAUUCGAGCGUUGGACUCGAGAAUUUUGGCGCGUUGAGCAGAGUUGCCGUUGAGUUUGAUAGCCUUUCACUUCUCUCUCGAAAAGCCGGUGUGUGUGUGCGCGCGAUGACGCGCCGCCAUGUUUGUCCUAAGCUGGGGCUGCCUAGCUUCCUUCCACCACACACACAUAACUUUCCAUUUAUUUGUUAUGUUGUACAUGAUAGUUUCUUCAGGUCAUUGUCCCGUCGUUAUGACAUGUUUAAUAAGUAAUUUUUCAUGCAUUUGCUACAUGUCGUGAAUUUGUUUUCACUGAAAUUGUUAAUCUCCAGACACACACACACGACCGGCAGUUUUCGGUAUCGAACCGAUGACGCCAAGCGGCCGGCUUUUAUUUCUCGUUGGUGGUGCAGAGACUGCGCGCGGGCAUUUUGACAGCGAACCAACAGCGUUUUUAAUCGUUUAUUUUUCACAGCCUAAAAAUGCUCAAAUUAAAUUGAUUCAAGUUUCACGUGUCAUUUUUAGCUAGUUAUUUUGAUAGAAACCGGCAGGUGGCUUUUUCAGUUUUUUUAACUUUAUUUUUCGUUAUUUUCAUUUCGACCGUUUUUAGUACCUCGAGGCAGUUUGGCCAAAAACAAAAUGUCAGGCUUUUUUCCAGAUAUGAAUUCGAAUGCCGAAAAGGGGGAAAAAAUGGCGUGCCUUCUUCAGCAUGCUGUGAAGUGAGAAGCGUCUUAGCUUUUUAUUUUCUGUCGGAGGAAGCCCAUGUCGAGACUGGCGUGGAUCCGCGGAUCCAGGAACCGUCGUCUUCCGCUUCCAACAACAAAGAAACACCCGUUGGGUGGGAGGACUUUGAUGAAGGGGGUUGGGUGGGGGGCAGCUGCAGAGCAGAUGAAAAAGAAAUGUUCCUGGCUCAAAGCGAGGAAUGGGAGGGAGGAGGGUGGGUAGGAGGUCAACCCCCAAGGUUGGGAGGACGGGGUAGUGUCGUGCGCAUAACCAUGGUUUUUUUCUUUUUCCUUCUCCCCCCCAUAACUACUACCCGUGUCAGGCGAGUCCUUGGGAAGAUACUAGCGCCGGACGUGAUGCUAGCGUCGUAAAAUGGCAACUGGACAGAUAGAAAGAAAAACGUGACCGUUCGCAAUUAAGAUGCAUUUUUUGUUUUAAAAAGAAAUUCGGGUAUUCUAAGCCUCGUUACACGACAUUGAUGUGUAGUUGAAUGUUUUACUGG